CAUUUUUUCCCCUUUUCUCUAAAGGAUACCCUACUAUCCAAUGCCUGAGAACCCAGUGGGAACUCCAGCCCUCAUCCUAUCUAGACCCAGUCUUCCUCUCCCGGGACCUGUGAUGCUUCCUUGGGCAGUGAGGGAAGGCAGCAGGCCAUGGCUCCAGUUCCAGCAGCUGCCACCACACCAGGAGAAUGGCAGCCAUCUGUCUCAGAUAGAGGGCAGGAGGGCCCAGGGCAGGCCACCCCCACAGCCAGCUCACCGUCCGCAGCCAAGCUCACCUUUAGACGGGCUGCUGAGACGGCUCAGGGGCCAGAUGUCAGGUGUCGUAAAGCUGUCCUCCUUUCUUCACAAGCCAGUCUGCCUCUCACCUGUCCUGAGGUAAGAAGCUCUGCCAUCUGAAACCAGGCCAAUGAGAACACACAGGAAACAUUCACGACGUGGUGGCAUGGUUAGUUUUCAGAGCAGAACCUACACGUUUGGACCCUGUGAGAGAAGACCUCACAGAAAUCUCAGUGUGGAUGAAAGCAGGCCAGGCCAGCCCUGAUGACCCCACCAAACCCCAAGCUGUGGGCACUGGGCACUCGGGUGGCUCAGUGGUUGAGUGUCUCUGCCUUCGGCUCAGGUCGUGAUCCCGGGGUCCUGGGAUCAAGUCCCACAUCUGGGUCCCCAGAAGGAGCCUGCUUCUCCCUCUGCCUGUGUC